UACGUAGGGUGCGAGCGUUGUCCGGAAUUAUUGGGCGUAAAGAGCUUGUAGGCGGUCUGUCGCGUCUGCUGUGGAAAAUCCGGGGCUCAACCCCGGACUUGCAGUGGGUACGGGCAGACUAGAGGUGUGGUAGGGGAGACUGGAAUUCCUGGUGUAGCGGUGAAAUGCGCAGAUAUCAGGAGGAACACCGAGUGGCGAAGGCAGGUCUC
rnacentral:rRNA from 1 species